UGAUGGAUUGGAUUCCUGUCUCUAAGCUUCUUGUCUGGUGUCCCCUGGAUCAACACCAUGAUUUGCAAGAUGAUUGGAUAAACUCACUGGUGAAGCAAUGUGGGUGAAUAUCAGUCACAUUCAUAUUCAGUAUUAUUUUCAGAACCAAUUGACUCAGAAAAUAUAUAGUAAUUCAUUGAAAGUCCAGUGCAUAGAUCAGAAAAUCUUACAACUGAAAGAAACCCUCCAUAUGAUCAUCCAGAUUUUAUUUCCACAGCCUAAAUACUGGAAAACUCACCACUCAGAAAGGCAGGUCAUUCCGGUUUUUAUCAUUUCCCCUUUUAUGAAGGUCUGCCUGUACUUGAGCACAUACCUACCUUUUGAAGCUCAUUAAUGAAUUCAUUCCUUCAUUUCUUCAUCAUUUAAUACAUACUUAUUGAGUGCCUAAUCUGUGGCAAAGUGCUGAGGAGAAAAUGAUAAAUAAGGCAUAUUCCCUGCUGUCAUGGAUCUUGCAGUCAGUGGGAGGAACCUAUUCCACCAACACCAUAUUACACCUGUUUUUUUCAGACAUUUGAGACAACCUUUAUUCCCUGUAUUUUAGCACAUUUCUUUCUUAGGCUACACACCCCAAGUUCCUUCAUUUCACAUGAAGAGUUUCCAGAUUCUUCCCUGCAUUUUUCACUUUCACUGAGGUUUGUCCAUGCUCCUCUUCAAAUAUGUGCCCAGUACUAAAUCCAAUGGUCUCAAUGAGGUCUGUCCAGAGCACACUGAUUCAGCCAGUCGGCCAUUUAGAACACUUGUUUAGCACCUAUCAUGUGUCAGGCAAAUGUGAAUAUGACCAUAAUUCCUGUCUUCAAGACUUUCAUAUUCUAAAGGAAGUUCCAGAAUGAGUGAACAAAACAACUGCUUCUCUAAUUGUGGACAACACAGUCCCAUUAAUUCAGCCUGUACUCUGCAGAUAAGGAAAUGAGGCUUCAUAGGCUUAUGACUUGACUCUUCUUGUGUUAGAUUGAUGAGUUGUGGUCCCAGGCUCAGGCCCAAAUACAGCAAAAUUCAAUGAACUAAACCAAUAAUCUGCAACUGAAGACCUGAGAAAUAAGCAAGCUACAAAGUAAUCAGUUUCUUUAUAUGUAAAAUGGAAUGACAUAUACCUCUUCAGGGUUGUGGUAAGUUACAACAGACUGCUGGAUUUCUAAUCAAGAUUAACUUGAAAAUAGAAGAGUAUAUACAAAUAUUUCUGAUAGAGCCAAGUAGCCUUACAAGUUGCCACCAUUAUGAAUUAGUAACAUUUUUUUCUUCCUCUUCCAAGUAGUGACAGCUUCUGUGUCUGAAACACUGUCUUAUCAGUGAUAUCUUGGAUAUAAAUAUCCCUUCUCUGUUCUCCCUGUCUCUGGAUUGGGAGCAGGUUUCCUGCCCACUUUGUAUUCUGUGUUAAGGCCUUUUAUUUUGAGAAUAGUUUAUAUUUGUGCUACAAAGAGAAUUAGCGAACAAAUGGCUUUAGUCAUUCAUUCACUCAUAAACCUAUUCAUAAUGUUUCAUUUACUCAUUAAAUUUUUAAAAUAAAUUUAGUACCUGGUCCAUAUUUGGAAUUCAGUUAACUUUUGUGGAAUAAGUGAAUGAAUGGGUGGGGUCCUAGUUGACCAACCUUUGUCUUAGUAGAUUAAGAUUCAUCUACUUAACAGGCAGGAACAAGACAAGAGUUUCAUGAAGAGCCUCAUGAAGCUAUAUAAGUCUGUGAUGGAGAACUGAUGCUAGCAGUGUCAGGAAUAUCACAAAGGGUACCAGUCCAAUGGGGCACAGGGUUACUAUAGUUCUGACAUGAUCCUGCACUUCUCAAGUGUGGAAUUAUGCUUCUAACAAAGCCAAGGACUACAGGAAGAUAUCUGAUGAACUUUAACGUUCCUUUGGGCCUUUUUUAUGAUCAUUUUGAAGAUGCUUCAUUACUGCUACAUAACAUUAAGUAUCAUUAUUGAUUGGUCUGUGCUAUUACCUUACUUGCUAUUAAAUAUUGUAAAUAUCACCCCUGCCACCAUGAGAUCAGCUUUCAGUUCAGAUACCAUUUGGAAAUGGCUCUUCCCAUGAAGAGUUUAUAAUGAUCCUCCGUUCCUCCCAACAUGAUGGAGAGAAAGGCACAAGUGCCCAGUUCAGUGAGAAGUGUUGCUCAGUUGAAAAACAGGCAGGUGUCAUUUCCAGGGCAAUAAAUAUAUAGGUAGCAGUGGUUUUACAAGAUGAAAAUUCCUAUAGACAUCUAUUGCUAAAUGUUGUUCUUGUAUAUGUUUUGGGGAACUGUAUAAGCUGAGAUUGAGAAGUGAGGAUCCAGACACAGAGAAGGGAUCAAUUCCCAAAGAGAAAAGAACAGCAUGGAAAACAGAAACCAGAUGAAGAGGAAUUCAGGAACUAUGCUGAGGCAUGGAAUGUUCUUCUGGGCUACUAUUUCCUUCAAUCAAGUUAAUUUUCAUGCAUUCUUACAACCACGUGGACUCUGAUAUCUACCAGAACACCUGAGAAGACCCUGUCUCCUGGUUUUCUUGCUUUCACCAGCCUUACAAGUAUUUACAGCAUAAAAUAUCUAUGGUCAGUGAAGAGGUGGAAGAGGAAUCUCCAGGCAUCCCAAGCAACAUGAAUAGAGGGAGUUGAUUUGCAGACGCCUACAUUCUCUGCCCUUCUGAAGAGAAAUGAGUGUGCUUACCUCACAAGGUCCAUAUAGCUGCCAAGCAGAGCCAAGGAAACAAUCAACCGAGGCAUGGAUUUCAGUGGUGUCAAACCACUUCUGUCUUAUUCUCUCUCACUAUCCCUGUUGAUUUAGGGACUGAGCCCCAUAGGGCCAGUUAUUUUAAAAGACAUUGAACACAUGAGAAACUUGUACAUAAUCCUGGAGAAACUUGUACCGAAUCCUAAAGUGUAUGGAAGCAGGAUGCUUUGAAACUCUGUGUCCAAUUAAGUGGCCUUUCAUCUCUUCUGAGCUUCAGUUUCCUAAUCAG